UCACGUGUCGCGCUUUACGCGCUUUUCCUCUUUCUAGUUUUGGGUGUAUCUGGGAGUUCUUGUUGUACCGUGUUGACGAAAGUUAUGCAUCUUUUCAUUGCUCCAUCUUCAGUUCGACCACUUAAAGAUAUCAUUAGACCAAGGAACGUGUUUCGUAUCAAAGAAUCGCCAACAAAAUAGAACUUCCUUCUUAUUGUAUUGGCGUUUAACACAGCACACGCUUCGUGUGGUUUAUAACGAAUCAUCCGGCACCUGCAAACGUAUUUAAAAUAAGUCAUAACCAUACAGCGUGUAGUGUUACAUCCGGGUUUUCCACGCUUAAU